UACCUCCUAAAAGUAAACAAAUGGAUGCUGCAGCACUCUGCUGUAAAAACAUGAAAAGUGUGACUAAACAGCGGGAAUUCAAGCCACGAAAAUGCCCGGACAGAAGAAAAAAUACAACGUGCGGUUCCCUCCCGGUCGCAUCAAAAAAAUCAUGCAGAAGGACACAGAAGUCGGGAGGAUAGCGGUGGCAGUUCCGGUGAUCAUCGCCCGGGCUUUGGAGAUGUUCCUGAAGUCUUUGCUGACCAAAACCUGUUUGAUUACUCAGGCGAAGUUCAACAACAUCGUGUCUGUGGCUCACAUGAAGCAGUGCAUAGAGUCAGAAAAACUGUUUCAUUUUCUCAAAGACCUGGCAGAGGGAGCCACAACUACAGCAGCCCAGAAGGACAACCGAGGCAUGAGUAUUUGGCCUCCCUCAUACAGUUUAUUGUCUUUCAAGGAACAAAAAGAGCAACAUCGCCACUAAAAACCCAUCUGGAGAGACUGUUCCCCAAAGGAGCCUCGGCCCACACCAAACCGGCUCAGGCUCAGGCGAGUCGGAGCCCUACAUCUGCUUGUAACGUGGACCUCACAGCAGCACAUCAUUUCUGUUCACGUCAUUAGGCUUUGCAGUGACUCAGCAAAAAAGAAAAACGAAAACAAAAAAACCCCACUGUUCACUACCGGGACAAUAGCCUACAUGAAUCUGACUGUUUUUGGACAGCAAGAGGGAAGAAGUGGAAUUCACACAGCAGUUUGAAUCUGUACCAACAUGCAAAGCUUUGGUAAAGAACAGAACGUCCACGCAGGACGGAUUCCUGCUACUGGAAAUUUUUUUUUUGUUGUUCACAGACUUGAAUACUUUAAGUCUACACUGUGAAAUGUAAGUUUUCUUUUUUUUUGCUUGUCUGCAGAUUUGAGGUUGGCGUCAUGAACUGUUUAACCCCUGAAGCCCUCAAAUGAUUGAUCUUUCAUUUUGUUUCGCCGUCUUUGUGAAUUAUAAGUGCUUUUUUUUUUUUUUAAAUAGCCAUCGGGGUUUCUAUUUUUACAGCACUUGUAAAUAUACAUUUGUUUUUUAAUGAAAUGUGUAAAUAACUCAAGGCAGGAGGUAAAUAAAACUAAGCAAGAGCUUACAGCAGUUUGUUUAUUCCAAGAAACUAUUUCUUUAAACACGGUACUGAGCUGAAGUGAAGAAUAAAUAGUGGAAUUCUG